AUGGAGCGAAGGCUGCCACUUGAGGAGAAAGACGAGGACCUGCUUGCGUUGCCAUUGCUGAAAGGAAAUAUAGGCAGGCAUGAAAGGGGCGAGCACGGGUGGAGCAGCCGGCGGCCGGCGCAGGCUAAAACCCUAGACCGAACGGGGAAUUGUUUGCGAGCAACACGGGAGAGGGCGAUGGUCAGCGUUAGAAUGGGUAAUCAUCGAACGAGUGCAACAAUUGCAGAGAAGCAUGUCCAUAUUAAACCAACAACAAGAUCAAUAAAUGACAAUGGGAGGCCCAAUGUUCAACUUAAAGAUCUUCCAGAGGAUGUGAUGUGCAUAAUUUUAUCAAACUUACCUGCAAAAGAGGCUGUGCGGUCUAGUGUUUUGUCCAGCGAGUGGAGAUCUAUAUGGACAACUUGCCCCAAACUGAGUUUCAACGGCAAGGAUCAUGUGCCUAGGCAUGGAGGGAAACAACAUGCCCAGAUGUUCAUAGACCAUAUUAAUGCAGUCUUGAAAAGGCACCACAGCAAGGUUGUCGACAAUCUUGAGAUCAAAUUUGUAUUUGAGAGCAAGCUAGUUUAUCAUCUCAACAGUUGGAUAAGGCUGAGCAUAGUCAGGUGUGAUCUAGACGAUGAACUAAAGGUGGUCCUGCGACCAUUGUCCAACCUGAAGUACCUGAGAGUCAAAUACUGCGGGUUCACCAAGAUAGAGUUCCAUGCUGCCAAGCUCUCCACCUUUGUGUAUAAAGGGGACUGCAUACCUAUUGCCCUCCAUCAAGCUCCCGAGAUGGAAAAUGCAGAAAUUUGUUUCUGUGCUUCUACCUUUCGGUGUGGUUCAGCUGUGGUUCUCAAUGGGCUUCCACAUGUUCAGAACCUCACUUUGAAAAUUUCAGUUGAAGUGCUAGAGUUUGAUGGCACUUGCACGAUGUGGUUUGCAUACAAGGGGUCUUCGAGACAAGACAUUCCACGAUCCGAACACAAAUACCUACACCUGAAGAAUGUGCAUGUCACAGGAUUCAAAGCCACGAAAGGCCAGCUUCAACUCCUGUUGCAUGUCGUGGAAAACGCCCCUGCGAUAGAAACUGUGACCGUAGAUACAGUUCAAAGACGGUAUGAUCUGUUGGAUCCAGACGAGAUUCUCCCGACGCUCCGCAGCUCUGCCCUUGAUAUUGUCAGGGAUCCUCUCUCUAAGAGACUUCCACCAGAUGCCAAGCUUUACCUUCUGUAA
rnacentral:rRNA from 1 species